GUACAUCUUUAAGUUUUUGCAUAUUAUAAAAAAACUCUCUUGCUCCUGUUUUGCCGUGGGCAUACGAGAGGGUCUGGCAGGAUUGGUACAACUUGGUGGCGCAUGUUGGGUCGAUUAGGGGGUGGGGGAUUGGCUUAAUGUCUUUCUGGGGUUUCUGACUAAUCAUGUUUCAUGUCAGCACUGGCCUUUCUCUUCAGGGCUGGGAGGACUUGGCCAAACACUUCUCGGAAUUUCUCCAUAUUUGUUUC